rnacentral:ncRNA from 2 species
GACAGGCAAUCUGGAGAGUGCCGAGAAAUUAUUUUUGGCCACCGAAGGGGCACGCGGAUAGCAAUCUGUAAAUCUCUCAGGUAAAAAGGACAGAGGGGCGCGA